AGAGUUUGAUCCUGGCUCAGAGCGAACGCUGGCGGCAGGCCUAACACAUGCAAGUCGAGCGGCCGUAGCAAUACGGCAGCGGCAGACGGGAGAGUAACACGUGGGAACGCGCCCUUCGGUUCGGAAUAACUCAGGGAAACUUGGGCUAAUACCGGAUACGCCCUAACGGGGAAAGAUUUAUUGCCGAAGGAACGGCCCGCGUCCGAUUAGCUUGUUGGUGAGGUAACGGCUCACCAAGGCGACGAUCGGUAGCUGGUCUGAGAGGAUGACCAGCCUCACUGGGACUGAGACACGGCCCAGACUCCUACGGGAGGCAGCAGUGGGGAAUAUUGGACAAUGGGCGCAAGCCUGAUCCAGCCAUGCCGCGUGGGUGAUGAAGGCCCUAGGGUUGUAAAGCCCUUUCAGCGGGGAAGAUAAUGACGGUACCCGCAGAAGAAGC
rnacentral:rRNA from 1 species